CCCACAUGCUGUAGAUGAGGAAACGAAAGCAGAGAAGGACAGUGAUGUCUCUCAGGCGGGAAGAAACAUUCUUCCUUUGCCUCCUUUGCUGUUCUGCUGUUUACUGGCUGUGUGACUUCUGAAAACUUACCUAACCAUCCUGAACCUUGGUAUCAACCACAGAAUCAAGGUGAAGAGUCACAUCAAGUGUACUCAGGCACAAAGGACCAGAAUGUGGCUGAUCUCAGCAAACGUCCUACAUGCGCUUGAGAAGAACGCGCACGCUGCUUCGGUGGGUGAGGUGUUCCGUCAAAGUCAGCCACAUAAACCACCAACAGAGACUUGGAAAUGGAAUUUUUAAUAUUUUUUUAAAUCAUAUAUAUAAAAUAUUAGGAACAAGUCUCACAAAAAAGGUACAAGAUCUAUAAACUAAAACCUAUAAAGCAUUGCUGAAACCUAGAUAAAUGGGGAGAUAUAAAGUGGCCAUGGACCAGAACAUGAUGUUUCUAAAAUGUCAGUUCUCCUCAAAAUGAUCUAUAGACUUUAUGUUAUCCUAAUCAAAAUUCCAGAAGGCUUCUUUGGAGGAUAGAAAUUGGCAAGUUGAUUCUCAAAUUCGCAUGGAAAUGCAACUUUGAUAAAGAAGAAUAACUUGGAAGACUUACUCCUGGACUUCAAGAGUUACUAUGAAACUACAAUAACCAAGAUAAUGUGACAUUAGUGUCAAAACAGAAAAACAAAUGAAUGAAAUAGAGUCCAGAAAUACACCUGCAUGUAUACAGACAAUUGAUUUUUGACAAAAGUGCAAAGGCAAUUCAAUGAAAAUAUUCAAUAAUAAUAAUAAACUUUGACACAUAUCUCACACCAUAUGCAAAUGUGACUAAAAAUAGAUUAUGUAUAAAAUUUACAGCUGCAAAACAUAUUUAAAAAGCAGAGGAGAACAUCUCUGUGACCCUGACACAGGCAAAGAGUUCUCAGAUAUGACACUGAAAGCACAAUUCAGCCCUGGCUGGUGUAGCUCAGUGGUUUGAGCAUGGGCCUACGAACCAAAGGAUUGCAGUUUGAUUCCCAGUCAGGGCACAUGCCUGGGUUGCAGUCCAGGUACCCAGUAAGGGACACAUGAGAGGCAACCACACAUUGAUGCUUCUCUCCUAUUCCUUCUCCUUCCCUUCCCCUCUUUCUAAAAAUAAACAAAUAAAAUAUUUUUAAAAAGAAAGAAUGAUCCAAAAAUAAAUAAUUAACAAAUUAUACUUCAUCAAAAUUAUGGACUUUUUCCCAUUAAGAAACACUUAGAAUGAAAACUACAGUUUAGAAGAAAAUACAUGCAAGUCAGUAUCUGUUAAAAGACUCUAUCCAUAAUACAGAAAGUCUCUUAACACGCAACAGUAAGACAAAAACAGUCCAACUUUUAAAUGGGCAAAUCAUUUGCUCAGAAACUUUACCAAAGAAAAUGCAGUGUCCGGAACAAAUAAUGCCUUUUUUAUUACAAAAUCUUUUAUUACAAAAUCAUAAGCAUGUAUUUCUGUGACAUAACAAUACCACACUCAUGCAAGCCUUCCUUCUGCUGCACACUGUAUAUAGAAAGAAAGUGUCACAGUUUCUAUUGUGUCAUAGAAAGACACAAUAUUCUUAGUCACUAAGAAUAAAACUUAAAAUUGCAAUGAGAUAUGACUGUAUACUUAUUAAAUUGUCAAAUGAGAAAGACUGACCUUAACAAGUGCUGGUAAGGGUGUGGAACAACUACAAUUCCUCUGCCACCGGUAGAAAUGUGGAGUGGUACAACUACUUUGGAAAACAGGUUGGCAUUUCCUUAAAAACUUGCAGCUGCAUCUGCCAUGUGAUCCAGUCAUUCCACUGUGAGGUAUUUGCCCAAAAGAAACUAAAGUUUAUAUCCACACAAAACUUAUACAGGAAUGACAUAGCAUUUUUAUUUGUAAUAGCCAAACCUAGAUUCAAUCCAAAUGUUCAAGGCAAAUAUAUAAACCAAUUUUGAUAUAUACAUACAAUAAAAUACUACCCGGACCAAAAAAAAAGUAAAAUAAACUAUUGAUACACUCGGCAACAUGACGGAUGCAUCGCACAAUAACUGCAAGAGAAAAGGCCACGCGAAAAUGGAAUAUAUGCUGCAUGGUUCCUUUUAGACAGAAGUACACAAAACGAAAACUAAGCUGUGGUGACAGUAAGCAAAGUCCUGAAUGCGACUACACUGGGAGAUGAACAGGGUGGGAGGGAGAAAUUACUAUGGUGCUCAAGGAAACUCGGGGGGCAGGGGGUGCUCAUUUUCUUGACUGUAGGGAUGACUGCAUGGGUGUCCCCCUGCCAAAACUUAACAAAUGUGUAGACUUUCAUUCCUAUAGCUACUGGGUAUCAAUCAUACUUCAGUAAAGUUGUUUCCAAAUUUCUGAAGGUAACUCAUAGGGUAAGCUUAAUUUUAUUUUAAAUAACAUGUGUGAGCACUUAGAAUUGUUUAACUCCAUGAGACUAUCUCAACCCUCUAUUACAGUCAUCACAUUUGACAUUUUUUAAGCUAGGUCGGCUCUUCUCCCUAAUAUACGCUAUCAUACAAACCAAGAAGUGUAUGUGGUAGUAUCUCUCACAAAUGGCCGCAAUUAGUUAUUUGACCAAUGGUUCUCUUCCCAAGACAGCAGAGAUAGUAUCUGUACCCUCGAUUAUUCCAUCCUGAGGUCCUGGUGCUAGUAAAUGCUCAGUAAGUAUUUCUUGAAUAUAAUGUCUUUGACCUGGUCUCCAGGUAAUAAAAAGCAGACUGUUCAUCCAUCCCAUGACAUAUGCUAAAAUGUAAGAGAUGAUUUUUGCUCUCUAGGUUUCUUUUCUUCAU